rnacentral:tRNA from 1 species
GGAAGCGUGGCUCGAGAGGUUGAAGGCACCGCUCUUGAAAAGCGGAACCCGCGCAAGUGGGUCGUGAGUUCGAAUCUCACCGCUUCCGCAA